AUUGAACGCUGGCGGCAGGCUUAACACAUGCAAGUCGAGCGGGGGAAGGUAGCUUGCUACCGGACCUAGCGGCGGACGGGUGAGUAAUGCUUAGGAAUCUGCCUAUUAGUGGGGGACAACAUCUCGAAAGGGAUGCUAAUACCGCAUACGUCCUACGGGAGAAAGCAGGGGAUCUUCGGACCUUGCGCUAAUAGAUGAGCCUAAGUCGGAUUAGCUAGUUGGUGGGGUAAAGGCCUACCAAGGCGACGAUCUGUAGCGGGUCUGAGAGGAUGAUCCGCCACACUGGGACUGGAACACGGCCCAGACUGCUACGGGAGGCAGCAGUGGGGAAUAUUGGACAAUGGGGGGAACCCUGAUUCAGCCAUGCCGCGUGUGUGAAGAAGGCCUUAUGGUUGUAAAGCACUUUAAGCGAGGAGGAGGCUACUCUAGUUAAUACCUAGGGAUAGUGGACGUUACUCGCAGAAUAAGCACCGGCUAACUCUGUGCCAGCCGCCGCCGUAA
rnacentral:rRNA from 1 species